GCCAGCGUAGCUCAGACGGUAGAGCAGCUGAUUUGUAAUCAGCGGGUCGGGGGUUCGAAUCCUCUCGCUGGCU
rnacentral:tRNA from 1 species